rnacentral:sRNA from 1 species
UCGAUUUAUUCAGAGGACAAGUACAGCAUAGGCAACAGCAGUGUAAGCUUCACUAUAGUAUCCUGUCAAGUGCCUCAAUCCUACUCUCAUGGGGCCACCUGAAUGGAGAGAGA